GAAAAAAAAAAAACAGAAAUCAGUAAAGAGAAACAACGAAAACUUACGGCAGUCAGCAGCUAGCAUGGUUUGAGGUUGGAUCGGCUAACGGUUUUCGAUGAGGACAUUCUGGUCGCCGGCUCUUCAAAGGACAGUUGAGACGAAAAGCCCAGGGAGAACAGCUGUAGCGACCAACGAGAAAGGAAGAAGGAAAUAUUUUUUACGCCUGGAAGCGCGACAUAACGAAGUUCCCAGAAUAAUUUCUUUUUUUUAUGACAGAAACGCGAUUUCAACUUUUCGCAAAUUGCAAAGGCGGCCAGGAAGGCCCCAUAUACGGGGGUCUAGGAGUUUCCGUUUCGGAAACAUGUCAGAAACGUUGAAACGCUGCUCCAGUUGCGUUGUUUUAUUAUUAUUUUUUUUAUACAUAGAGGGAAGAGUUAUUCGUUUUCAUUUUUUAAAUUUACGAAAGGACCUAAUUAAAGGUCGCUAGGGACCUAUACCAUACGCAUCGUAAGCCAACCAUUGGCAAAGACCUGGAGAGAGG
rnacentral:misc_RNA from 1 species